rnacentral:rRNA from 1 species
GACGAACGCUGGCGGCGUGCUUAACACAUGCAAGUCGAACGGAAAGGCCCUGCUUUUGUGGGUUGCUCGAGUGGCGAACGGGUGAGUAACACGUGAGUAACCUGCCCUUGACUUUGGGAUAACUUCAGGAAACUGGGGCUAAUACCGGAUAGGAGCUCCUGCUGCAUGGUGGGGGUUGGAAAGUUUCGGCGGUUGGGGAUGGACUCGCGGCUUAUCAGCUUGUUGGUGGGGUAGUGGCUUACCAAGGCUUUGACGGGUAGCCGGCCUGAGAGGGUGACCGGCCACAUUGAGACUGAGAUACGGCCCAGACUCCUACGGGAGGCAGCAGUGGUGAAUAUUGCACAAUGGGCGGAAGCCCGAUGCAGCAACGCCGCGUGCGGGAUGACGGACUUCGGGUUGUAAACCGCUGUCGCCUGUGACGAAGCGUGAGUGACGGUAAUGGGUAAAGAAGCACCGGCUAACUACGUG